rnacentral:rRNA from 1 species
UCCUGCCAGUAGUCAUAUGCUUGUCUCAAAGAUUAAUCCAUGCAUGUGUAAGUAUAAGUAUUGUACAGCGAAACUGCGAAUGGCUCAUUACAUCAGUUAUUAUUUAUUUGAUAAUCGAAAGUUACAUGGAUAACCGUGACAAAUUACAGCUAAUACAUGCAGUCAGACCUGGUCCAAGGGUCGUAAUUAUUAGUAUUAAACCAUUUCCGAAAGGAGUGUGAUGAAUCAUAAUAAUCGAACGAAUCGCCUGGUGUGCGAUAAAUCAUUCAAGUUUCUGCCCUAUCAGCUUUGGAUGGUAGUGUAUUGGACUACCAUGGCAGUCACGGGUAACGGAGAAUUAGGGUUCGAUUCCGGAGAGGGAGCCUGAGAAACGGCUACCACAUCUACGGAAGGCAGCAGGAGCGAAAAUUGCCCAAUCCUGACACGGGGAGGCAGUGACAAGAAAUAACAACUCUAGGUUAUUCUUAGAAGUGUAAUGAGGAUAAUUUACAACCCUUACCGAAAGCAAUUGGAGGGCAAGUCUGGUGCCAGCAGCCGCGGUAAUUCCAGCUCCAAUAGCGUAUAUUAAAGUUGUUGCAGUUAAAAAGCUCGUAGUUGAAGUUCUGGCUGCUCAGUCCUCGAGCUCUGUAGCCGAGGAAUUGACAGUCAUCCGCUUGCAAAUAUAUUUUCGUCUUUAACCGGACGGGUAUAUGAGUAAGCAUUUUACCUUGAGAAAAACAGAGUGUUCCAGGCAGGUUUGUCCGGAAUGCAUUAGCAUGGAAUAAUAGAAUAUGACUGAAGUCUAUUUAUUGGUUUAAGGCUUUAGUAAUGAUUAAUAGGAACAGUCGGGGGCAUUGGUACUUGUCAGUCAGAGGUGAAAUUCUAGGAUUUGACAAAGACUAACAAAUGCGAAAGCAUUUGCCAAGGAUGUUUUCAUUAAUCAAGAACGAAAGUUAGGGGAUCAAAGACGAUCAGAUACCGUCCUAGUCUUAACUAUAAACUAUACCGACUCGGAUUCAGAUGAAUCAAAAAGUUCAUUUGGGACCGUAGGAGAAAUCAAAGUUUUUGGGUUCUGGGGGAAGUAUGGUCGUGUAGGGAAAGAGU